rnacentral:misc_RNA from 1 species
UUCUUGUGAUGCAGAGCCUGAUGCAAUACAAGAAGAAGUUCUACACAAGCCUCACAAGAGAGCCUCUGAUGGCACUAAGACUCGCUUCGGCGGUGGUAUUAAACCUGGCUAUGGCGUUUUCAGUGGGAGACGUCUUGCACCCGAUGUGAAGAGUGAUGCAAUACAAGAAGAACAAGUUCUACACAAGCCUCACAAGAGAGCCGCUGAUCCCACGAAGACUCGCUUUGGCGGUGGUAUUGGUGGUUCAUUGGGUAGACGUCUUGCACCCGAUGAGCCACACCCUGUCAUGUAAGCUGCUCAACGAUGGACGACCCACAUCACUGCUUCUGCCUAACCACUCACCGCUACAAAGACAAGCUACAAUCAUCACUUACUACAAACUUGUCUACUCCUUCUUUUGCUCCUACAAACAUGCGGCCUGGCAGAUGACUUGAAGAGACUUCUACUAAAGCUUUGUCUCCUGUACAGACAAACUAUAACCAGAGCUUACACAACUCUCACCUAGUGCUUGUAGUUUAGUAUCAGUCUGUCUUCUGAUGAUAAACCUUCCUGUAGUUCAAGUACUGCUUGAGGCUGAUAACAAGAGACACAUGUACUGGCAUUGACACUCACCAUAAUAAUGAACAACAAUGGCAACAUACAACCUUCUUUCUUUCUUCUUUCGCUAAAGCUUUUAAAAAAUAAACUCAGA